rnacentral:rRNA from 1 species
GAGUGAACGCUGGCGGUAGGCCUAACACAUGCAAGUCGAACGGCAGCACAGUAAGAGCUUGCUCUUACGGGUGGCGAGUGGCGGACGGGUGAGGAAUACAUCGGAAUCUACUUUUUCGUGGGGGAUAACGUAGGGAAACUUACGCUAAUACCGCAUACGACCUACGGGUGAAAGCAGGGGAUCUUCGGACCUUGCGCGAUUGAAUGAGCCGAUGUCGGAUUAGCUAGUUGGCGGGGUAAAGGCCCACCAAGGCGACGAUCCGUAGCUGGUCUGAGAGGAUGAUCAGCCACACUGGAACUGAGACACGGUCCAGACUCCUACGGGAGGCAGCAGUGGGGAAUAUUGGACAAGGGCGCAAGCCUGAUCCAGCCAUACCGCGUGGGUGAAGAAGGCCUUCGGGUUGUAAAGCCCUUUUGUUGGGAAAGAAAAGCAGCAGGUUAAUACCCCGCUGUUCUGACGGUACCCAAAGAAUAAGCACCGGCUAACUUCGUG